AUCACUGCGCCUCCAGGAGCCUUCCGAAGCAGUCGAAAAAAUCCUGCAGCCUCACGAUUCGGAGCCAUAUAAGGCGAAAAUGCUCGAAAAAUCAGGAUGUGUACUUUUCUUGGACCUCAUCGAGCAAUUACAAGUCGUCGACUGCACCCUCCGCAGAGCACUGGACGUGUUGAACUUCCUAGAUGGAGAAUUCUGUCGGAUAUGUGAUGAAAGGUCGAACGAGGAGGCAAGGGAAAAGGAUCUUCUGAUGGAGGAAUACGACCGACUUACGGAGUCUAAAAUCAUAUGGACGAAACGAAUAAAAUCAAUUGACGCUGACCUCGCGGAGCUUUCGGCGGAACUCAAGCGUCUGCAAGCCCCUGUGUAGGGUGAGAUCCGAAUCGAAUUGCGCCUGGAAUCGAAUUAAUCAUUCGUGGAAAAAUUCCAAAUAGGCUCACCCUGCGACUAUCGACUAGCCCGGAAGACGGUUCUUCAACGUAUGCGCUCGACAUGAAGGAGUCCGACGGAAGAUUUGGCCAUUAGCCUCUCCAUCUCAUCAAUCUAGGAACCCCUCCGCUCGGAUUUUUAAGAUUUUCACGACUCUUAUCGAUUCCCGAAGGACUGUAUCUGGCAGGAGUCAAAUUCCUGAAACAAAAGCUCCAGCGGAAAGGAAGCACGUUUUACCUUUUGGAUCGACUCAAUCUGUGUGAUGAACAUAAACCGCGACCCGAGGGUUGCCUCGACUUGACAAUCUUAAUAAACGUCAUCUUUUACAUGAACGCU